UACGAAGGGGGGCUAGCGUUGCUCGGAAUCACUGGGCGUAAAGGGUGCGUAGGCGGGUUUUUAAGUCAGAGGUGAAAUCCUGGAGCUCAACUCCAGAACUGCCUUUGAUACUGAGAAUCUUGAGUACGGGAGAGGUGAGUGGAACUGCGAGUGUAGAGGUGAAAUUCGUAGAUAUUCGCAAGAACACCAGUGGCGAAGGCGGCUCACUGGCCCGUAACUGACGCUGAGGCACGAAAGCGUGGGGAGCAAACAGG
rnacentral:rRNA from 1 species